UGGCCGGGAGACUUUCCUUGGGAAGAAAGUCACGAAUUGGUCUUCGUUAUCGUCUCAACUUUGCCCGCCACUGGUUUCCCGACAGUGUGUGUG
rnacentral:ncRNA from 1 species